AAGAAAACAUCCUUAUCUAAGUUGCCUGUUAUAGAGGAGGUUUAGAAUCUAAAUGAGAAUAAAUCUUUUAUGACAGACCCAAGGGACAGCUCUCCUGUCAGGCUCCAAUAGGAGCUUGCUGACUUGUAUCUUAAGGCAAAAUUUGUCCCAUUGUCUACUUUUGUUCUUUUCCUUUAUUCCCCUCUCUCGGACACUUCUUUUUUGUUCAUGACAUGUUCUGGGUCAUAAGCAUAGCUUCUCUAAGGAGAUCCAGCAGGCCUUUGCUUGGAUUGUGUAUGUGCCCUUCCUCUAACAUCUAUGAAUUUUUAUGCAUCUCACAGAGCCCAGUCUAAGGCAUUGAAGUGUGGAGACCAUGAUGAGCUGGACACAUCUACAAGUCCCCACUGGGAUAGAGAGGACAGAAGCUGGGCCAGUGAGUCCAGGAUCACUGGAUUCACAGACCAACACGGGGAAGAGACAGGAGGCAUCUCUGGCUUCACACUUUCCUGGCACAGUGACAGCAAUGAUAGGAGAGGCAGAGAAAAGAAGACGAUGACUAGAAGUUUAUUUUAGAGGCAAUGUGACAAAACACCAGUUGUGGAAGGAGAAGCAAGACAAAGAAGAAAAGGCAGUAACAGAAGAUAUGAUAAAGGUACUCAGGAUGAUGUCACUAUUGUACAUUCGAUAUUUCUUCUGGAGCCAUGAGCAUCUGCUAGAAAUCAAACAAUCCAUUGGAAACUCACUAAAAUGUGCAGCACUUUCAACUUCAUAACUUGGCUCCUUUCUUCCUAUGAACAAUGGCAAAAACUCUGCAUAGUAAAGGAGAUACUUGUGAAAGGUUUAAACACAGACAUCAAAACUGUAUAGAAACAGAGGCAUCUUCAGAAGAAUGUUAGGAUUAGUACUAGUUUUUCCUGAAAUGUUUGACAGAAAUCACCACAGAAACCAUCUGCACCUUGACUUGUAUUUGUGGUAAGUUUCAUUUCUUCAUGUUUAAUUUCUUUACUUGAUAUGGACAAUGAACAGAUUUUCUGUUUUUCCUUCAUAUACUUUUAGCAAUUUAUUUCUUUCUAGGAAUCUAUUUUGUCUAAAAUGUCCCAACUGUCAGCAUCAAAUUAUCGUAUUUCUUCAUUCAAUAAUUUAUGUGGG
rnacentral:lncRNA from 1 species